rnacentral:tRNA from 1 species
GAGAGUGUAGCUCAGUGGUAGAGCGCAUACUUAGCAUGCACGAGGUCCUGGGUUAAAUCCCCAGUACCUUCA